rnacentral:lncRNA from 1 species
AAAAUGUGUGUAGGGUUUGGUGGUUGGAGUCUCGAUAAAAUCUAGCUUCGACUAGGGAUCACAUGUUUUUGGUCAGACCAUCUUAGAUCUUAUAUUAUUUUAAUCAUUUACGUACAUAUCGAUCAGUUUUGCUAAUCAACCCACUAUUGCAGCAAAAUUACAAUCCAAAUAUAUAAAUUUUCGAAGUAAUUAAUACAAGAUUUUUUUUUACUAAAUUAAGUAUUUUAUGAAAGUCGUAUUUAGUGCCCACACAAAGAACUUUGGAGAGAAAGAGAGAGAGAAGGAAAUGUUUACAGAGAGGCUUCUCUCAGACGAAACCAAUAAAGAACAAAAUACAAAGCUGAGAAGAAUCCAUAAAAGGUGAAAAAAAAAGCAAGAAGAGCAAGGAAAUAUGUAUUCCUAUCUCACCUUCCGCUUCACAUCAUUCUUCUUCAUCUUCUUCACCAGCUGUAUUCUGUAUAUACCAAAAUCCACUCCUCUCUCUCCCUCUCUCGUUUUCACUUGAUCCUGUCCUUAAUGUUUUAUCUGAUUUUUUGUUCUUCUCUUGAAUUUUUGUUGAGUAGAAGAAAGUAAUGGAAGAUACUGAGUAUUACUGCAACAAUGGUGGGGUUUCAAGAAGGGCAUUUUCGUAAGAGAAGAAGAAAAAUUGAGUUUUAUAACUCUUCAAUGUCUUGUAUCAGAUUCAUUCGUUAUUAUGUGUCUUUAAUUUGGUCCUUUAAGAUGAAAAAAACAAAAAUAGAGUCACGUUUUCGGAAGUAGUGAUAUUGGCGGAAUGGCUCAAUCUCCUUGUCACAAUUAUCACUUUCUUUUCUUUUUUUUUCAAUUAUCACUUUCACUCUUCUUUUCUUCUUCAUUUAUUAAACAAAUCACUUGUUUUUGCUUCUUGUCAAAAAUAAAAUUUAUGAACUGCAAAAAUAGCUUUCUCAUAUUUAUUUUCAUCAGUUUGUUCUCUGUUAAAGAUUUAUUACUUUCAUCAAUUAUGCAAGAACUUGGCUGUAUGAAAGAGUAGUAUAUCAUUUUAUUUCUAGCCAUAGCAUAUAUUUUAAUUAUAUAUCUUCUGAUUUCUCGAGUUGUCAUUUUCCAAGGAUUUAAUAUGUGUACGUAUAUAUUGGCAAUGAUAUUGCAUUUAUAUACAUUGGUAAUGAUAUUGCAUGUAUGUCUAAUGAUUUUUUUUUAUAUAAUUCGAUGUGCAUUGUUGAAGACACACGACACAACAGAGGAAAAACAGAGAGAGAUGGUUGUUUCUUGAUUCUACAUUUUUACUACUCUCGGGGAAUGUGCAUUUCAUAAAACCCGAUAAUUUAUUUGGUUACUUAGGAC